ensembl:lncRNA
GUGGCGAAGGCGCGGUCGAAGACGGGUGGUGUUGAACCGGAUCGCUAAGGAGAAACAGCCAGGGAGGGGGUCAAGGGGUGAACAGAGGUUCAGCACUGUCUUUCUCAAGCAGGUUCUGAAGCCUUCUGCUUCUCCACUGGGUGGCUGGAUAUGUACCUGUGCAGCCUCUCUCUGUGCACCGCUCCCAUUUCCACUGGUAGUCAGCAGUGGGGUUCUCCACUCUCCUUUUGCAUUUUGUUCCAUGAAAGGAGAGGCAGCCCCUAAAGUGCCACUGCCUCUGACCUGACCUGCAGGUUUCUGCCCAGAGUGGCGAUUCAAACCUGGGAGAAUUGUUACUAUGGCACAGCCCCGUAUUUGCUGCGUGUACCCCUUGGUAACCCACCACUGGGGAGCUCCAAUGGUGGGGUGCUUGCAAGGCUUUCAUUCCUCCUCUCAAGCAUCAGUUGGAGUUUGGGGUGUGGGAGAGGAUCCCAAAAAUAAUUAUUUAUUCAUACUUUCCAUCAUCCAGAAUCUAAAGAACUGCCCCUGUUAGGUUUAUCAGGCAGAUUUACCCUGCCUUAGGUUUAUAAUUUCUCAGAGAAAGAGAUUUUUUGCAACAUGAUAAAUGCAGCUAUAACAUUUUAGGAAAAAAACAAAAAGCCAGUGAAGUUCUAAAUCGUCAUCUACUUUGGCUUCCAUACAGCAGGUUCAGACUCUGCAGACACCUUUUUUUUUUUUUUUUGUUACAGACCCCACAGAGAAAAGCCAGUUAUUUCAAUAGAAAGGAAUGCAUUAAUGUCUGCACUCCAUAGUUAUUCAUUAAUAUUUUUCUUGCACCACUUCCAUAGUUCUAAACACCCUAUGCUUCAUAAAAGAGAAAGGGGAAAAAAAAAAAGCCAAGGAAAGCCAUUAAGCUUCUCAGUCCUGAACCACCAGACUUCAAGACUAGGGUGCAUUUCCUUUGAUUACUGUGGAAGAAAGAUGGAGCUGGGCCAGCAGCACCCAAGAUCACUGAAAAAUUGACAGCAAAUGGAUGGUCCAUGGAGCCUGGUCCAUCCAAACAGCAAGCCUGGAACACACCUUUGGAGUCAGACUGCAGCCAGGGGCUGGGGCCUCUCCAUCCCCGAAUCACCCCUUCUGUCUGCAUGACUUCCACCACAAACAGCACAUCAGCUGCUUCCUGGGCUGCUGAGCUAAUGACAGCCCCAUUGGCAUUCAGUCACUGUCCUUUUACAGAGCUUCAUUCUGCUCCAAAUGAUGGCAAGGAUUCAAAUCAUCCAAGCAGACCCCAUCUCCUCUGCAGGGCAGGCAGGGCUGGCAAAGUUCUCCAGAGGGACCAGCAGCAUCUCUGCUCUCCAUGCUAAUGCUUGUCUGGGGGAAAAAGCAGCACAGGCUUUUUUCUUCUUCAAACAUGAGCCCCUAGGGAGAAAUCCCAGCCCCUUUCUUCCCUCGAGGCAGGAACAGGAGUUUCUUACAGGCAGACCAGAAAGAGAAAGGAGUUAAGGCUAAACCUGUGCUUGGUUCUGCCACAUCCUGGAAAGCAGGAGGGGAAAUGAAAUCUCCUGUCUCAUGGUGCAGCUAUUGCAAACACAGGCUCUAAUGAGCUGUUACCACAAACACAGCAGGAAAGGGAAGAGAAAGUGAGUAAGGAUAACUUUAUGGAAGUUAAUUGGUUUGCUUUUAUUUUUUCUGCCUCGUUCUUGUGGAAAGCACUCAUCCUCCUCAAAACACCUACAGAUAAAAUCCAGCCAUCAGAUCAAAGCUGAAGGAGCUUGGCAGAGCUAGUUUGCUGACACCUCCCCAUGCUUUUAUUGCAACAAUAGGAGUACCUGAGAAGAGAAGAAUAUAUUUCGACUUUGAGUUAUCUCAAAGAUAGCUCCUGUAAAGGCAAGGACAUAUCAAAGUAUGAAGCUGCCUUGGUGAAGACAGGACAUUGCUUAGCACAAAUCUAAGGGCAGACUGCAAGCAAGAAGGAGAACACAGACCUGAUAUAAGCCAUUGUAAGGGUGCAUUUAGUCCUUUGUUGUUAUUAAGAAAUAAAACUACACAGAGGAGGCUGGGAGAAAAGUCAUAGUUUCCAGUGGGUGUACAACCAUCCCUAUCUUUAAUGUACAGAAUUUGUAUUGCAAAUCCAAAGCAUCCCAUUCUCAUUCAGAUUAGGAAGAUUAAUUUUAUGAUAAUUCAACACCGUUAAGAAACUCACUGGGUUUUUACUUACAUGUUAAUACAUUCCUCGAGGUUUAUGCAGAAUUGAUACACAAAGGCUCCUUCUGGUGGACUUCAGCAGCGUUAUCCAAGAGGUGGAAUGGAACAGCUACAGAUCACCAAACCAAUGUGCUGGAUUCCACUGAUAAUCCUAGAGAAGGUGGCACUGUAAGACUAUGCAGGUACAGAACCAUAUAGAAAUGGAACCUGCCUAAAUUAUAGCAGGAAAUUAUACCUUUGGGAGCAAGAACAGGACAGGGGUGGGGAAAGAGCAGCAGGGAAAAUGUUCCUUGUUCCUUGGCCUCUGCAAAGCCCCAAAGUCCCUUCUGUUCUUGUCCCUCCCUUGGCAGUGGUGCUCUCCUUGCACACUUGUCUGUGCAUUUUCCUUUCUUCCCCUGGUGUCUUUGGGAAAAUUGAUUUGAGACACUCCAGGUCUGAUCUGCAAGCCACUGAAGAACCUGCCUCGUUUCUUAGCAAAAUGAUGGGCUUUAUUUUUAAAAUGGAGCAGGGCUACUGUGGAGCUCUGACCUUUUCCAGUUCCUGCUGCUGCUUAGCCAAGACUUCAUUGCUGUAGGGCAGCGCCCUUGGGUUUUGCCAUGGAUACCCGCUUAUUGCAACAACAGCAGAUGAAACAUCCCCCUUAAAGCUCCACAGUUAAACAAGUUAACUGGAGAGCAAGGGACUUACUGUGGGAACUGUUUGGUUUGUUGGUUUUACUAAUGCUCAGUCUGGAUGCUGGCCACCAGCGAGGCUGUGAGCAGGGAGAUCUUGAGGGAGCUGCAUUCAGUGGCAUUUGGUUUAGGUUAUCGCAGGGAAUUCUGCAUCUGGGCCCUCUCUCUCAGAUUUUUUUGGUUUGAUGCCCUGAGCACACCAUAACAAUUGCUUAACCCAGAGCUGCUGCUGCAACAAGAAUUGAAAAAUGAAAGUCGUUCUUCUUUGGGCCACUUGUAACAAAAUAGUUGAGCAGAGGAGGUUCCCAGUCAGGACUGCUUUUUGGCUUUGGUUUCUGUAGGAAUCCUCCAGUAGGACUAUUUCCUUUUCUGAGUAUUCCAGAGCUGAACUGUUUCCUUUUGCUGGCUACACUUGUUACACACAAGCAGACCACUAGCUCUGGCGGGCAUCUAGAGUGAUCAGGCGUAAUGUUCCAGUAACCUGCAUGAAAAAAAACCCCAUAGAUAUGGAUGUCGGUAGCUCUGGGACUGAGAGAACAACAAAUGGGACCCCUCACUCAAUUCUGCUGCACCACAAACAUAUCAAGCAUUAGCCACACUCUAAUGGCUAAAGGAAAUGUCAUUAAAAAUCUAAUUCUACUUCCCUGAACUUUCCUGCCCUCCCAUUUGAUGUCCCUUCACAAAAUGAAAAUUGCACAUCUAUGCCAUGACAAAGGACAAAUAGAAUCAUGGUAAAAGAUUCCUGAAAAACAAGAGGCUUGGAGGAGACAUUGCAGACCUCAUAAUUGCUUGGAGGCUCUUGCCACAGGAAGUGCACUGCAAGCCUUGGAUGUAAGUCUAGAUGAAAAUAAAGGCAUAAAGAAUGGCCAAGGAAACGAAGAGGCUGUGCCAUCACAUUGCUCAUACCUCUGCAACUGCCAGCAGGGAGGAUGUCUCAUAUUCAGGAAUCUUGUGCUGUGCUCUUUGUGCCACCAUCACCGUUUCCCAGGAGUUUCUCAGAGCACAGCUGGGCACUUUUCCUUCCACAGGCCCUUGUGCCAGCCAUGUGUGUCAGGGGAAGGAUGAAGCACCUGUUUGGGACCAGGAAGGACUAGGUCAGCAAGGAAAGGUGCUUCAGUGACCCCUGUGGUGGUGUCCCUUCAGUGGUGAAGAUGUGCUGCAGCCACCCUGAGCGGUCACACCUACAUUUCUUGGUGCUUUUUACUCUGCCCUUGGGGAAUUUUUCCUCCACCAUCUCCAGUUCACUGUUUAUCCAGGUACAGCUCCUGGGAGCUGUGUGUAGAGACUCUCCCCAGCCCUGGCAAAACACUCUGGGGAGCUGGAAUGACACUGGGCUGGGGCUGCAGCCUGGGCCUGCCAGCUGGGGAUUGUGACAGUGUGACAGCAGGGAGCUGGGCUGGCUUUCUGGGCAAUCAAAAUACUGCCCUUGGUAGGAUGGUGGCUUGUUUGCUGGCAUUGCUGGCACCUCUGCCAAAUAGUUUUGUCAUCAUCACUAUUGUAAUGUCUUAGCCUAGUGCAAUGGUAACCCUUGCCUUUCCUGUGACCUUGGGGAUGGUCUCUCUUUGACCUCUUGGAGAAUGACUAAUGAAAAGUGCAGAUGUUCAUAUUGCAGCUAAAUUAUGCAACCAAUCCAGGAAAUCCUUCACUAGCUGAUCUUAGUUUCUUCUUUACUUCGUAGAGGGCAGGAAAGGGAUGAUAAAGGGUUAGAAGCAGAAAAGGAACAGGGCAAAGCAAACAACUGAUGGUGGUUUCUGGGACAGAUUUUCUACCACAACUCCUCCAUUGGCAGUAAGCACUGGGGAGCAGGAGCUGUGAGAGAGAUCCAGAAAACAUUUUCCUGCUAUGACAGCAUCUACAUCCCAGCAGAACAAUAAAUAUGUAGGCCAAAAUACUGCCUAUUUCUCCACCUUUGCCUUUGGUGAUGUCAUGGGGGAAAAGUCUCUUCAGGAACUGGCUCAGGUAUCCCCAAAUCUGCGAGGCAAGGCACUGGGAGAAGGGAGAGAAGGAUAAGGAGAUGAAACCACUUGUUAUCACCUGCUAAACACCACCUCCAAUAAAGAUACUGUUCCUUCCCUGAAUUCCUGCACAGAAACUCUGUCUCUCUUUAAUGGAAAUAUUGUCCCAUCUCUCUCAGGCUGGGAUUUAAUCAUCAGAAGGGUUUUCCUCCCUUGAAAAGUUUUUUAGAAAAAAACAUUCCAUUUGAGUCAAACAUCCAAACUCCAUCUCAAAAUAGUUAAGCAAAUAUUUUUGCUAUUUCAAUUUUAUGCUGUACUUUGGGAAAAUAUUAAUUGUAACGUCAUACUUUUGAAGUUUGAAAACCAUAAAACUACAUUUUAAAAUGAAGAUGAAAUCACUUAAUAUUCUUUAAAGGAAGGAAGCAGAAAAAGUAAGGCCUUUUGAAACAGCAUUAAUAAUUAUCCUUUUUUUCAAAUAUUUGUGGAGUUAUGUUAAAACUAAGUGGUAUUUUCUGAUUUAAAAAAAGAAAAUGCCAGAAGGCUUCUAACAAUCUGUGCCAAAUCUGCCAGGGCCACAUCUCAUGACCUUUUCAUGGGAGUGCACGUGACACUGGUAGCACAAACUGAGCAGGAGCUGUCCACCCACUCCAACCAGGGAGCAGUCAGGACACAGAACAUUAAACAAGAUGUCUCAGCUCUGGGAUGUAGAGCACAGCUGUAUGGACAAAACAGAUAUUCUUAAAAGCAAAAGACAAGUGGCUCCAGAGCUGGAACUCAUCCAUAGCAUUGGGGCAGACCCAAUUUCUAUCCCCCUUCCCACAGGUGAGCACAGCCAGGUCUCACCCAUGGAUCCCCUCCUUAACUCAUGCUCCUUUUCCCCAGGUUGCUGUAUUUUAGUCCUCACUAAUCCAGACUCUUCGGUCACAUCACAUCCAAUGAGAUAAAUGAUCCAUCUAUUCUGGUAUCACUUUUUCAGUUGUGAUACUUCUACAAAGUAUUUAAUGGCCACGAUGAAUCUGGCCAGGUGCAGAAGAAAAUACACAAAAAUAAAAAAUAUUAGCAUGGCAAUUAACCUUCCUUAAAGGUUUUGUUUGAAACUCUUAGAGCCUUCUAGUUACCAUGUCUACUCUAUUUAAACACAAGGCAGCAAAGGUUGGUUGCAGUGGCUCUGAACAGGAUAUAAACACAAUUGGAAUGUCAAGACAACAAAACAACAUAUCAGCACUGGAUACAGAAGCUUUUUCCAUGGAGCCUGGAAAGGUAUUUAAAAAGAAAAACAGAGUUACCUGCACUGAAAUCUGGGCAGGAUGAUUCCAGCUUCUGCAUGAUCUCAAAAAGUCCAAAAUGGGCAUUUUACAAAAAGAAUCAGUUAUGAUGGUGCCACAGCAGAGCAGCAUAAUCACUGGCUGGAGGGUCAAAAUUCACUUGGGCAAUGCCACUGGUUCCUGACAGUCCAACAACCACAUCCAGUCUGCUGGAGCAGUGAUUCCUGAUGGGGAAAAUCAUCAACAGCUCAACAGGCAGCAACACGAUGUCCCCAGCACUGCAACAGGACAAUGACAUCAGCUGAACAUGACAAGAGAAACAAAGGCAGGCCACUGCUAAAUCACACGGCCCAAUUAGUGCCCGUCAUGCCUUUAGUUAGUGGGGAAGCACACAGGGAAAAGUGCAAGGUAAUAAAGAGGGCAGGUUUUGCAUUCUCAGGAAGACAAAAAGGCUGGCAGAUGGGCUGAUUGUAUUCUGAAGUCAAGCUCCUGAAUGAAGUGUGUGGAUCAGUACUAAAUGAGGAAAUGCAUUCUGCAUUGGAAUAUGGUUUUCCUUUUUGCCAGCCCUGUGGUGCCAGGGCCAGUCUUAUCUCAAAGGACAUUUUCAUCAGCCUACAGGGAGAAAAACCACUCCUCUGUUUCAUUACCAGAAGUGUGGCUGUGACAGCACCAUCCCUGUUAAGUAGCAAGUAGGUCACUAGUGGGAAAUGUUACCCUGGGCCAAGCCACGUUCAGAACAGUUUGGGGAAUUGAAUCAUUCUCUCUCUCGUCUCCCUGCUGCUGUUUGCAGGACCACCAAAGAAAGGUGCCCAGAUGAUGAACUGGAUGAGCUCAGCCAUUGUGACAGACACAGGUCAGCGCUGCAGAAUGGCUCCCACUGCAUCACGCAGCCAAGGGCUGAACAAAAGCUACAAGGGUUCAGUGACAAGGUUUUGCUAAGCUGUUCUCUUUAAAUAGACUCUUUCUGUGUUUUUUUGCAAAGCUGUUCCAGCCCAGUUAAAGUGUUUCUGAAAUGCUACAUACUCAUGUUUGAGGCCUGACAAUGUUCCACAAAUGUACACAUUCUUCUUUACAAUUAUAUCGAUACUGCUCUGCAAAUUAAACAUUAAUGCCUAAACAACCAACUGCUGUCUGCAACCCUGCUGCUACCGACCAAGAAUGAACAUUACUUAGAAAAGAGAGACCUCCAAGGAAAAGAGUCAGGUAUCUGCAGAAAGCAAUUACCUGUCAGUAAGUGAUACCUGACUCCAUAUAAAUCCCACUGUUACAGCAGGAGCAUGGCAGACAGCUGUCCUUCCAAAGGAAAAAAGGGUUGUAAAGAUUGUAUUUGAACUCCAGUUUAGUCAUUGGAGAAUAGUUUGAGCUACUGCAUUAUCUCUGCCCUUUACUGACUGCAGUACUCAUGGCAUAUUCUAAACACAAUGGAUCUCCUCCGCUGUAGAUCAGUAGUGAGCUGCGUUUUAUAGGCAAGGGAAGGGAGGUGACUGAAGCAGUUGGCAAUGGGUCAGAAAAGGACAUUUGAGCCUACACCUUUCUGGGAAAUGGCACAACUGUGAGGAAGUACCUUGGGAAGGGUUGAAGAAAAUCUGUUACUCGAGUUUUAUUUCACAGUGUUCCCAGGAACUGAACAUUACCCCUUCUCCUUGUCUGCUCCAGCAAAUCAAAAAUCUGCAUUUAAUAAACAUGAGUGACAGAAAGCAUUCCCUGUCAAACUACAAAGCAUUUGUUAAUACACCCCUGAGGACAGGCUUAGCUGACCUGGGUAUUUAACAUGCACUUUGCAGCAUUUUCCCAUUCCUGCAACAAACUCAUUGUUGGAUGCCAGCACAUCCACAGCUCACACAAUAAUGCACUUCCUGCCUGCAGGACACCCUGGGCAGCAAAGGGUAAACUUUCCCUAUACCCAGGGAAGAGUAUUACCUUAAUCUCUUAUCUAGGCCUGCUUUUCAGUGGCACUUGAUACAGGAGCUAUACCAAACACUUCCUUGAAAACAUAAAGCCAGGGAUUGGGUUACACACGAUUUGAGAUCUGUGCCACCAGUAAGACAAAAGCUCCUGUAUUACCUGGCACAUGCCUGCUGAAUUAUUGAAGUGUCCCUUCAAACUGAAUAUAUUCACUGCAUAAUUAGUCAACAGAAGAAAACAGUCUCUCUUUACACAGCUAAUGCUGGCAGGUAUUGUAUCUUUUAUGCACUGUAACAAAAAGCAUUUGCAGAACUGAUGCAACACAAACAUUUGGAAUUACUCUGGCCAUGCAGGAGUGUUCCCAAGGCACAUGCUCCCCUUUGUGGUGCUGCCUCAGUCUCAUGUUACCUUGCAACCAAGACCUAAAAAUGUGAAUUACUUGUACCAGGUGUAGCACCAUCCCCAUUUCAGAAGCAGGUAAAUGGUGCAAACACCUGGAAAUUUGCUUUGCCCCUGAGGAAGGAGUGAGAUCAGUUUGGCCAUUCAGGUCCCAUUCUGCAUCAAGUGGGACGUCCCUGGGGUUGUGCAUCAGUGCCACUCUCGGCUCACACUGCUUGCAGCUGAUGCCACUCCAGAGGCUCUGCUGUCAUGGGCUUGUCCCCUGCUGCCGAUUUUUGGGAGCACACAGAACACAGUGGCAGUCCCAGCACGUCUGCUGGGAGCAGCACAGCCAGCCAGCUGCUGUUGCUCUGUUUAUUCUGCCCUGGCAAGGCAAGAGCAGCAGCAGACUCCUCUCAUGGAGAGGCUGUGCUGUUGCUGAGAGCAGGAUGGGCUCUGCAGUGCUGUAUAUAAAGCUAAGCUUACCUGGAAAUGCAAAGAGAUGGCUUCCAGAUGUCUGAACACCAGCUGCAGGAUGAAAUGCAGUUCUACCAACUCCAACCCAUAGCCCAAGGUAUGCAAAGACAACAUUCUGUCAGUGGAAAUAUUCCUGGGUUUUUCCACUUGGAAUUACACCUGUUACACCUGAUACUAAGGGGACAGAUGGGUUCUUUUAGGGAUCUUUGGCAAAAUAAAGACAGCACUAAAUUGUAGUUACAAUCCAUAAUAUUCAGCAGGACAUUCAGAUUAGCAUACCACAGAAUUUAUGAUUAGUAUGGCACAGGAUUUCUACAAGUAGCAUCAAUAUGGUACAAUCUGUAAAUAGCACAAUACAAAAUUUAUAACUUUUUUAUAGCCUGAAUCCUCUGCAAGUCUGAGGAUCCUAACACAUGGUUUAGUAAAUCAAUGUAACAAUCACACAGACCUGGAAAUCAUGUCACAGAAUGAGCCACUCAGUCCUGAGGAAGCAGAGGACAGUGGAGGCACCUGUGGCCAUGAGGGGUCACAGGUCACUGCCCAGCAGCAGUUUGGGUCCCAGCUCUCCCCUGAGGAUUUCUAACUCCAUCAUUUUACAGCAGCAGCAGCACAGGGCUGGCUGGGAGCCUGGGACCUUCAAGGCCAGCAAGGAAGGGAGGAAUGGGCCUGGAGCCCAGGAAUUGUGAGGCCAGCAGCCAGGGGAAGAAGAAACUUGUUUAGUUGACUUGGUUCAGGGGACCUUCAGGGCCUGAUAGUGAGAGAAGGGGAACAAAUCCAUUACCUGCUUGGUCAGAUGUCUCACGGAGCAGCUGAAAGAGCAUUGCAUAGCUCUAAAGACUUGCUUUAUGUGUAUGGAUACCAGGUAAACUCCUGAAAAGCUCAAAAAUGGAAAUGAUUUCCAUCUUCUUUUGAGUAUUUUGGGAUGACUUGCUUUUACAAAUAACUGUACCUUGCAUUCCAGCAGCACUCCAGCUCCGUGCAGAGCCCCAGGCGUGCUCAGCCCCGGCUGCAGGGAAAGCUCUGCUCAGGAGCCAUCAGCACUGCCAUCGCCUGGCACCACAGCAGAGCUGCAGCAACGGCUUCAAACUGCUGCAUUCUGUGCAUCCUGCAGCUGCUGGGGUGGAGAAAGUUAUUGGGGAAUCGUUCCUCUCCUGAAUUUGUUCCAGGCGUUAUUGUGUGCUGCAGCUCCAGAUGAUGAUCAUCACCUGGCUGGUAAAGCCCAGUAACCCAGGGGAAAUCCUUUACACAGGGAAUCUGCACCAGAGUUCUGUGAAAUAAAUCAGUCUUACCCAAAGGACUGCAAAUGGCACUUAAAAAGCCAAUCUGGAGACUUAAAAAUUAACAGCCAUUUCAUUUUGCUCAGGUUCAUCUCUGCAAAAAGCAAACAAAUUGGAAAUCAGAGGUUUCUAUCAUUUCAAAGGCUGGAGAGUGUAAAACCUCAUGACAGUGAUCUGACACAGUUCCUUAUCGUGGGCAGCUGCCCAGACACCUCAUCUGCAAGCAGCCCUUCACCAUUAAACUGAGCUAGGCCAAAGCAAUAGUGUUAUUGAAACAUCCCAGGAACACCUAAUCCCACCUGGAUCUCCAAUCCACACCUCUGCAGAACAACUCAGUGACCAGCUUUUCUGGCCUAGGAGCUCAACUGGAGUACUCACCAAUUCAGGGUUGCAUUUCCUGUGGCAGAUGGUAAAUCAAUACUCUGCCUGCCUGCCAUUGUGCAAACAUGUCUUGUGUCAUCUGUGAAAAGCUUUAGCAGACAAACUUUGCCAAUUAUUUAGUUUUCUGAAAUACAUUUCAUUAAACCAAUGUGCAAACCCACUGACACGUGAGAGCAGCAGCAGGGAACUCACCUGAAAAUGUAAAAUGUUCCCAUUUUGUGGGGUUUAAUAAUCUUAUGCCCAAGAUUAUUUGCCUGCAAUAAAACACAUUGACAGC